CCGGACCUGACUGCUAUCGGAUUGGUACUAAGCCAUGCGAGUCAUUGUAGCAAUACAAGGCGGACGGCUCAGUAACACGUAGUCAACCUAACUCGUGGACGUGGAUAACCUCGGGAAACUGAGAAUAAACCACGAUAGAUCAUAGUGCCUGGAAUGGCUUAUGGUCCAAACAGUUUACUGCCAUGGGAUGGGACUGCGGCCUAUCAGCUUGUUGGUGAGGUAAUGGCCCACCAAGGCGAUUACAGGUACGGGCUCUGAGAGGAGAAGCCCGGAGAUGGGUACUGAGACACGGACCCAGGCCCUAUGGGGCGCAGCAGGCGAGAAACCUUAGCAAUGUGCGAAAGCACGACUGGGUCAGUCCGAGUGAUUCCUGAUAAAGGAGUCUUUUGCCUGUCCUAAAAACACAGGUGAAUAAGGGGUGGGCAAGUCUGGUGUCAGCCGCCGCGGUAAUACCAGCACCUCGAGUGGUCAGGACGUUUAUUGGGCCUAAAGCAUCCGUAGCCGGCUUUGCAAGUCUCCGGUUAAAUCCACCUGCUCAACAGAUGGGCCGCUGGAGAUACUACAGAGCUAGGGAGUGGGAGAGGCAGACGGUAUUCAGUGGGUAGGGGUAAAAUCCUCUGAUCCAUUGAGGACCACCAGUGGCGAAGGCGGUCUGCCAGAACACGUUCGACGGUGAGGGAUGAAAGCUGGGGGAGCAAACCGGAUUAGAUACCCGGGUAGUCCCAGCUGUAAACGAUGCAAACUCGGUGAUGCAUUGGCUUAUGGCCAAUGCAGUGCCGCAGGGAAGCCGUUAAGUUUGCCGCCUGGGAAGUACGGACGCAAGUCUGAAACUUAAAGGAAUUGGCGGGGGAGCACCACAAGGGUGAAGCCUGCGGUUCAAUUGGAGUCAACGCCGG
rnacentral:rRNA from 1 species